AACGUAGGUACCGAGCGUUAUCCGGAUUUACUGGGCGUAAAGCGUGUUCAGGCGGCCUGGCAAGUCGGGCAUGAAAUCUCUCGGCUCAACCGAGAGAGGCUGUCCGAUACUGCUGGGCUUGAGGACGGUAGAGGGUGGUGGAAUUCCGCGUGUAGUGGUGAAAUGCGUAGAUAUGCGGAGGAACACCAGUGGCGAGGGCGGCCACCUGGACCGUCCCUGACGCUCAAACACGAAAGCUAGGGUAGCGAACGGG
rnacentral:rRNA from 1 species